CUACGGGUCGCUCCAGUGAGGAAUAUUGCACAAUGGGGGGAACCCUGAUGCAGCAACGCCGCGUGGAGGAUGACGCAUUUCGGUGUGUAAACUCCUUUUAUAUGUCAAGAAAAUGACGGUAGCAUAUGAAUAAGCACCGGCUAACUCCGUGCCAGCAGCCGCGGUAAUACGGGAGGGUGCAAGCGUUACUCGGGAUCACUGGGCGUAAAGGACGCGUAGGCGGGUUGGAAAGUCAGGUGUGAAAUCCUACAGCUUAACUGUAGAACUGCACUUGAAACUUCUAAUCUAGAGUAUGGGAGGGGGAGAUGGAAUUAGUGGUGUAGGGGUAAAAUCCGUAGAUAUCACUAGGAAUACCUAAAGCGAGGGCGAUCUCCUGGAACAUUACUGACGCUAAGGCGUGAAAGCGUGGGGAGCAAACAGGAUUAGAUACCCCCGUAGUC
rnacentral:rRNA from 1 species